GCCAGGUGAGGUAGUGCACACCUGUAAUCCCAGUAAUUUAGGAGGCUGAGGCAGGAGGAUUGCAAGUUCCGGGCCAGCCUCAGCAAUUUAGUGAGGUCUUAAGUGACUUAGAAAGACCCUAUCUCAA
rnacentral:sRNA from 1 species